UACGGAGGGGGCUAGCGUUGUUCGGAAUUACUGGGCGUAAAGCGCACGUAGGCGGCUUUGUAAGUUAGAGGUGAAAGCCCGGAGCUCAACUCCGGAAUUGCCUCUAAGACUGCAUCGCUUGAAUCAUGGAGAGGUGAGUGGAAUUCCGAGUGUAGAGGUGAAAUUCGUAGAUAUUCGGAAGAGCACCAGUGGCGAAGGCGACUCACUGGACAUGUAUUGACGCUGAGGUGCGAAAGCGUGGGGAGCAAACAGG
rnacentral:rRNA from 1 species